rnacentral:rRNA from 1 species
GAAGACCAAGGGUUCCUGUCCAACGUUAAUCGGGGCAGGGUAAGUCGACCCCUAAGGCGAGGCCGAAAGGCGUAGUCGAUGGGAAACGGGUUAAUAUUCCCGUACUUCUUACAAUUGCGAUGGGGGGGACGGAGAAGGCUAGGUGGGCCUGGCGACGGUUGUCCAGGUUCAAGUGCGUAGGCUUAAGAGUUAGGUAAAUCCGGCUCUUUCUAAGGCUGAGACACGACGUCGAGCUACUACGGUAGUGAAGUCAUUGAUGCCAUGCUUCCAGGAAAAGCCUCUAAGCUUCAGAUUGUAAGGAAUCGUACCCCAAACCGACACAGGUGGUCGGGUAGAGAAUACCAAGGCGCUUGAGAGAACUCGGGUGAAGG